rnacentral:rRNA from 1 species
UAGGGAAUCUUCCACAAUGGACGCAAGUCUGAUGGAGCAAUGCCGCGUGAGUGAAGAAGGGUUUCGGCUCGUAAAGCUCUGUUGUUAAAGAAGAACGUGGGUAAGAGUAACUGUUUACCCAGUGACGGUAUUUAACCAGAAAGCCACGGCUAACUACGUGUCAG